rnacentral:rRNA from 1 species
UACGAAGGGGGCUAGCGUUGCUCGGAAUCACUGGGCGUAAAGGGCGCGUAGGCGGACCUGCAAGUCGGGGGUGAAAGCCCGAGGCUCAACCUCGGAACUGCCUUCGAUACUGCGGGUCUCGAGUCCGGGAGAGGUGAGUGGAAUUCCUAGUGUAGAGGUGAAAUUCGUAGAUAUUAGGAAGAACACCAGUGGCGAAGGCGGCUCACUGGCCCGGUACUGACGCUGAGGCGCGAAAGCGUGGGGAGCAAACAGG